rnacentral:pre_miRNA from 1 species
UAUGUACUCCCUCCGUUCAGAAUUACUUGUCUUGGAAAUGGAUGUAUCUAGAACUAAAAUACAUCUAGAUACAUCCAUUUCUGUGACAAGUAAUUCCGAACGGAGGGAGUACAUC